CAUAGGUUAAUGAGGCGAACCGGGGGAACUGAAACAUCUAAGUACCCCGAGGAAAAGAAAUCAACCGAGAUUCCCCCAGUAGCGGCGAGCGAACGGGGAGCAGCCCAGAGCCUGAAUCAGUGUGUGUGUUAGUGGAAGCGUCUGGAAAGGCGCGCGAUACAGGGUGACAGCCCCGUACACAAAAAUGCACAUACUGUGAGCUCGAUGAGUAGGGCGGGACACGUGGUAUCCUGUCUGAAUAUGGGGGGACCAUCCUCCAAGGCUAAAUACUCCUGACUGACCGAUAGUGAACCAGUACCGUGAGGGAAAGGCGAAAAGAACCCCGGCGAGGGGAGUGAAAAAGAACCUGAAACCGUGUACGUACAAGCAGUGGGAGCACGCUUAGGCGUGUGACUGCGUACCUUUUGUAUAAUGGGUCAGCGACUUAUAUUCUGUAGCAAGGUUAACCGAAUAGGGGAGCCGAAGGGAAACCGAGUCUUAACUGGGCGUUAAGUUGCAGGGUAUAGACCCGAAACCCGGUGAUCUAGCCAUGGGCAGGUUGAAGGUUGGGUAACACUAACUGGAGGACCGAACCGACUAAUGUUGAAAAAUUAGCGGAUGACUUGUGGCUGGGGGUGAAAGGCCAAUCAAACCGGGAGAUAGCUGGUUCUCCCCGAAAGCUAUUUAGGUAGCGCCUCGUGAAUUCAUCUCCGGGGGUAGAGCACUGUUUCGGCAAGGGGGUCAUCCCGACUUACCAACCCGAUGCAAACUGCGAAUACCGGAGAAUGUUAUCACGGGAGACACACGGCGGGUGCUAACGUCCGUCGUGAAGAGGGAAACAACCCAGACCGCCAGCUAAGGUCCCAAAGUCAUGGUUAAGUGGGAAACGAUGUGGGAAGGCCCAGACAGCCAGGAUGUUGGCUUAGAAGCAGCCAUCAUUUAAAGAAAGCGUAAUAGCUCACUGGUCGAGUCGGCCUGCGCGGAAGAUGUAACGGGGCUAAACCAUGCACCGAAGCUGCGGCAGCGACGCUGAUGCGUUGUUGGGUAGGGGAGCGUUCUGUAAGCCUGUGAAGGUGUGCUGUGAGGCAUGCUGGAGGUAUCAGAAGUGCGAAUGCUGACAUAAGUAACGAUAAAGCGGGUGAAAAGCCCGCUCGCCGGAAGACCAAGGGUUCCUGUCCAACGUUAAUCGGGGCAGGGUGAGUCGACCCCUAAGGCGAGGCCGAAAGGCGUAGUCGAUGGGAAACAGGUUAAUAUUCCUGUACUUGGUGUUACUGCGAAGGGGGGACGGAGAAGGCUAUGUUGGCCGGGCGACGGUUGUCCCGGUUUAAGCGUGUAGGCUGGUUUUCCAGGCAAAUCCGGAAAACUAAGGCUGAGGCGUG
rnacentral:rRNA from 1 species